UACGAGGAGGGCUAGCGUUGCUCGGAAUUACUGGGCGUAAAGCGCACGUAGGCGGCUUUCUAAGUCGGGGGUGAAAUCCUGGAGCUCAACUCCAGAACUGCCUUCGAUACUGGAAAGCUCGAGUCCGGGAGAGGUGAGUGGAACUGCGAGUGUAGAGGUGAAAUUCGUAGAUAUUCGCAAGAACACCAGUGGCGAAGGCGGCUCACUGGCCCGGUACUGACGCUGAGGUGACGAAGGCGUGGGGAGCAAACAGG
rnacentral:rRNA from 1 species